GACAGAGGGGGCAAGCGUUGCUCGGAAUUACUGGGCUUAAAGGGCGCGUAGGCGGGAUGGCAAGUCGGUCGUGAAAUCCCUCGGCUCAACUGAGGAUCGUCGAUCGAUACUGCCGUUCUUGAGGAUUGCAGAGGAGACUGGAAUUCCCGGUGUAGCGGUGAAAUGUGUAGAGAUCGGGAGGAACACCGGUGGCGAAGGCGGGUCUCUGGGCAAUUCCUGACGCUGAGGCGCGAAAGCGUGGGGAGCAAACAGG
rnacentral:rRNA from 1 species